GGGUGAGUAACACGUACUUAAUCUACCUUUUAGUUUGGGACAACAGUUGGAAACGACUGCUAAUACCGAAUAUUCUUUUUUACGGCAUCGUGAUUUAGUGAAAGGGGCGUUUGCCUCGCUAGAAGAUGAGAGUGCGGUACAUUAGUUAGUUGGUGGGGUAAUGGCCCACCAAGACGAUGAUGUAUAGCGGGGUUGAGAAGCUGAACCGCCACACUGGGACUGAGAUACGGCCCAGACUCCUACGGGAGGCAGCAGUAGGGAAUAUUCCACAAUGAGCGAAAGCUUGAUGGAGCGACACAGCGUGCAGGAUGAAGGUCUUCGGAUUGUAAACUGCUGUUAUAAAGGAAGAAAAACUAGUAUAGGAAAUGAUACUAGCCUGACGGUACUUUAUCAGAAAGCACCGGCAAACUAUGUGCCAGCAGCCGCGGUAAUACAUAGGGUGCAAGCGUUAUCCGGAAUUAUUGGGCGUAAAGCGUUCGUAGGUGGUUUAUUAAGUCUGAAGUUAAAGCCCGGGGCUCAACCCCGGCCCGCUUUGGAUACUGAUAAACUAGAGUUACAGAGAGGUAAGUGGAACUCCAAGUGAAGCGGUGGAAUGCGUAGAUAUUUGGAAGAACACCAAUGGCGAAGGCAGCUUACUGGA
rnacentral:rRNA from 1 species